rnacentral:rRNA from 1 species
AGUCACUGACAUUAGAUACCCUGUAGUCCCAGCCGUAAACUAUGCGCGUUAGGUGUACUGGUGACCACGAGUCACCGGGUGCCGAAGGGAAGCUGUUAAGUCCGCCGCCUGGGAAGUACGGUCGCAAGACUGAAACUUAAAGGAAUUGGCGGGGAGCACCACAACACGUGGAGCCUGCGGUUUAAUUGGAUUCAACGCCGGACAUCUCACCAGAGGCGACAGCUGUAUGAUAGCCAGGUUGAUGACUUUGCUUGACUAGCUG